UACGGGGGGGGCAAGCGUUGUUCGGAAUUACUGGGCGUAAAGGGUGCGUAGGCGGCUUUCUAAGUUGGAUGUGAAAACUCUGGGCUCAACCCAGAGCCUGCAUCCAAAACUGGAGAGCUUGGGUACUGGAGGGGAAAGCGGAAUUCCUGGUGUAGCGGUGAAAUGCGUAGAUAUCAGGAGGAACACCGGUGGCGAAGGCGGCUUUCUGGACAGUUACCGACGCUGAGGCACGAAAGCGUGGGGAGCAAACAGG
rnacentral:rRNA from 1 species